rnacentral:rRNA from 1 species
GUCUAUGGCCAUGCCACCCUGAACGUGCCCGAUUUCGUCUGAUCUCAGAAGCUAAGCAGGGUCGGAUGGGAGACUACCUAGGAAUACCAGGUGCUGUAGGCA